AUGGAUGGAAGAGAGCGUCCUUCAGUCCACUCAUGGGCGGUGCUAGGGUCGAAUUAGCUGCCGACUCAUUCACCCACAUGCCAAGCAAAGAAACGCUUGAGAUAGCAAAGCUUAGCAGAUGAGUGAAUGAAGCGGGAGGUAACGUUCCGAUCUCGCGCCGUCUUUGCUUGGACUGAAGGGUGCUCCCUCCUCCUCGACC
rnacentral:pre_miRNA from 1 species